UACGGAGGGGGCUAGCGUUGUUCGGAAUUACUGGGCGUAAAGGGCACGUAGGCUGGCUGUUAAGUCGGUGGUGAAAUGCUGAGGCUCAACCUCAGAAUUGCCUUCGAUACUGACGGUCUUGAGUGCGGGAGAGGUGAGUGGAAUUCCCAGUGUAGAGGUGAAAUUCGUAGAUAUUGGGAAGAACACCAGUGGCGAAGGCGGCUCACUGGCCCGCAACUGACGCUGAGGUGCGAAAGCGUGGGGAGCAGACAGG
rnacentral:rRNA from 1 species